UCGGGCCUUGAGUUCUGGGACUGGACUUGAAAUGGGGACUUCAGAAAAAAUUUACGCUAAGAAGCUGCUAAAUAAGCACCUAGGACGGUAAAGUAGGAUCAGAAAUGUAUUGGUUGAGAUGUCUUGAUGAAGUAAGUGGAGUGUGGACAGAAAUCUCGUCGGUAUAAUUCUAUUACGGGAGUUUCCAUAGUCUAGCCCUUGUUGACUUUACUUCUAGCCAAUAAAUUAAGCCCGGGAUUUUUUUGAAGCUUCAGCCACUGACCAAUAUCAAGAGUAUUGUGGUGUUUAUGAUGGACAAGCUUCAGAAUUGUAUUACUGCAUGAGCUUGACAUAUGAUUUUAUGCCCAGCUGAAUUAACAUGGUUACUGAUUUGAGAAUGCUAAGUAGCAAAUAUAUAUUUAUGUCUUUUGGAUUCUCUUUCUAUUUGCUUUCUUGCCCUAUCCUAUUUCAAGUGAUAAUAAUUGAUGGCAUUUUGAUUCCAAUUGGUUAUUCCUUUUUUAUAAUUUUGCAAUUUGACAGUUGGUUUAGCUGUGUAAGAUUUGCCUAUCCAUUUGUUAGAUUUAGGGAAAAUAAGGAUAGUGAGUUGAAUCCAUCUGUUGAAUGGGCCGAUUUAGAUCAAAGUUAAAGAAGAAUGGAUAGCUGUCAUCUAAUUUGGCAUGUUACCUUACACAUGGAGUAGUGGUUCCUUGAUGUGCCCUUUCAUAUGUGCUUGCCUGAUCUCAAUUUAUCAUCUAUGCCAAGUAACGGGAUUGUAAAUUACUCUAGCAGUAAUUUUUUCCCCUCCCCAGUCUCAAAUAGACAACAUCCAGAAAGUAUUUUUGUGCAUUGGGGAGGGUUUAGGUCUGUAGGUCAGAUGGUGUUCGGGUGAUAUUACACAAGCAACAGCUUGAUUUGAGGUGGAAAUUGUGAGAAAAGAGACAAAGCAAUCUUGAAUAGGGAGGGAUAAUGCUAUUAUUCUUUAAAAGAAAGGGUACUCUGAAGUGUGUUGAAUAAGCUUCUAACUUGGGUGGGUAAAGUUGGCAUUUUGGGAACCAUGGUGACUUCAGCCAUGUACCUGUAGGACAUGUUGUUGCUAAAUUAGGAAUAAACAUUAUUCAAAAGAUAAUAUAUAAUAUCCUAUCAAAACUGAUGGCGCAGACGGUUGUCUGCCAACAAUAUCUCUCUCCUAUAAGAAAGGAUAGGAUUGCCUCUCCUCUUGGCACCCCCCCUCCCCAAAAAAAAAAUAAAAAUUCCCAGCACACAAAUCCCAAAGCUUGUUGGAGUUAAGAAUGCCUCCUAGGAUGGAUCUCUAAUGUCUCAAAACUUGUCAUGAUAUGCAACAAUAUAUAAGAUUCAUAUGUAACCAUGGGGUUGCUAAAUGUAAUUUGUUUCAAGUCGCAGCCGGGAGCUGGAGACAAAGAUAUCUAUAUCCAGGUUUUGCUAAACAGUAAAUUUGAUAUACACUGACAGUGUAUCCAAUUUGCUUAAACUUCGAUGAGAAUGGUACGAGAAAGCUCCUGAAUGUUUGAAUACAAGGACUCUGGUUUGGCGUCUGUUUGGCAGCAUCUAUUCCCCCUUGGUUUUUGAUCGAGAGUUCUUAAUACCCAACUGGUUGUAUGCAGCAGCAACAUUUGUACAGUAAUCAUUGAUAGCAUUCUUUUCCAGGAUAAAAAGUUUUCUGAGAUAGUAGCUUCCGAGAUUCAUUGUGUAAAGCAGAACUCUGAUGUCAAAAGUUUUGAGGCUAUAGUAAAAGCUCUAUUUGGGCUGCGGAUGUGGAUUUGUCAAAGAUGUUCUUAAAAUGUUUGUCAA